rnacentral:rRNA from 1 species
CCCUUAGAUGUUCUGGGCCGCACGCGUGCUACACUGAUGCAUUCAACGAGUCUAAAACCUGGUCUGAUAGGGCUGGGUAAUCUUUUGAAAGUGCAUCGUGAUUGGGAUAGAUGAUUGCAAUUCUUCAUCUUCAACGAGGAAUGCCUAGUAAACGCAAGUCAUCAGCUUGCAUUGAUUACGUCCCUGCCCUUUGUACACACCGCCCGUCGCUCCUACCGAUUGAAUGAUCCGAUGAAUACCAUGGAUUGAGAGUACGAAUAGGUUCGCUUAUUCCUGCUGCUCGAGAAGUGGAGUAAAUCUUAUCAUUUAGAGGAAGGAGAAGUCGUAACA